rnacentral:rRNA from 1 species
GACGAACCGUACGAGCGUUAUUCGGAAUUACUGGGCUUAAAGGGUGCGUAGGCUGUGCGGAAAGUUGGGCGUGAAAUACCUCAGCUUAACUGAGGAACUGCGUUCAAAACUACCGUGCUCGAGGGAGACAGAGGUAAGCGGAACUUAGGGUGGAGCGGUGAAAUGCGUUGAUAUCCUAAGGAACACCGGUGGCGAAAGCGGCUUACUGGGUCUCUUCUGACGCUGAUGCACGAAAGCUAGGGUAGCGAACGGG